GCAUGCAGUCGUACGCACGCGCUUCGGCGCGUGAGUGGCGCACGGCUGAGUAACACGUGGGAACCCGCCCUCCGGUGGGGGAUAACGCGACGAAAGUCGCGCUAAUCCCGCAUACGUCCGCAAGGGGAAAGCGCUUCGGCGCGCCGGAGGAGGGGCCUGCGGCCCAUCAGGUGGUUGGUGGGGUAACGGCCUACCAAGCCGAUGACGGGUAGCUGGUCUGGGAGGAUGACCAGCCAGACUGGGACUGAGACACGGCCCAGACUCCUACGGGAGGCAGCAGCAAGGAAUUUUCGGCAAUGGGCGCAAGCCUGACCGAGCAACGCCGCGUGCGGGAUGACGGCCUUCGGGUUGUAAACCGCUUUUCGGGGGGACGACUACGACGGUACCCCCGGAAGAAGCCCCGGCUAACUCUGUGCCAGCAGCCGCGGUAAGACAGAGGGGGCGAGCGUUGUCCGGAGUUACUGGGCGUAAAGCGCGCGCAGGCGGUGGUCUCAGUGUCGUGUGAAAGCCCCCGGCUCAACCGGGGGAGGUCAUGGCAAACUAGACGACUGGAGCGGCGGAGAGGCCCCUCGAAUUGCCGGUGUAGCGGUGAAAUGCGUAGAGAUCGGCAGGAAGACCAAGGGGGAAGCCAGGGGGCUGGCCGCUGGCUGACGCUGAGGCGCGACAGCGUGGGGGAGCAAACCGGAUUAGAUACCCGGGUAGUCCACGCCGUAAACGAUGACCACUCGGCGUGCGGCGACUAUUGACGUCGCGGCGCGCCUAAGCUUACGCGUGAAGUGGCCCGCCUGGGAACUACGA
rnacentral:rRNA from 1 species